CAGAGGAAAUAAAAGCCGAAACUGAAAAACAGAGUCCUCCUCAUGGAGAAGCAAAAGCUGGAUCAAGCACCCUUCCCCCAGUGAAAUCAAAGACAAAUUUUAUUGAAGCAGACAAGUACUUCUUACCCUUUGAGUUGGCAUGCCAGUCCAAAUGUCCCCGCAUAGUUAGUACAUCUCUAGAUUGUUUACAGAAACUAAUUGCUUAUGGACAUUUGACUGGCAAUGCUCCAGAUAGUACAACCCCAGGCAAAAAAUUAAUUGAUAGAAUCAUUGAAACGAUAUGUGGCUGCUUUCAAGGUCCUCAAACAGAUGAAGGAGUUCAGUUGCAGAUAA